rnacentral:rRNA from 1 species
UACGUAGGGGGCAAGCGUUGUCCGGAAUCAUUGGGCGUAAAGCGCGUGUAGGCGGCCCGAUAAGUCCGCUGUGAAAGUCGGGGGCUCAACCCUCGGAUGCCGGUGGAUACUGUCGGGCUCGAGUGCGGAAGAGGCGAGUGGAAUUCCUGGUGUAGCGGUGAAAUGCGCAGAUAUCAGGAGGAACACCAAUUGCGAAGGCAGCUCGCUGGGACGUUACUGACGCUGAGACGCGAAAGCGUGGGGAGCAAACAGG